GACCCCGCGGCUGGGCCGAGGGGGGGGGGCGUGGUGGGGCGGGUCGGCGGGAGAGGUAUUUAAAUUGGAGCCCGAGCUGCCCUCUCGCGGGUCCGGUUCCCGUGGGGCGGUGGAGCGGCCGUGCGCCUCCUCGGGCCGUGACCCCGGGGUCUGGCGCGGGGUGGGACGGGGAGGGCAGGUUUGCGCAAAAUGUGCCGGGGCUGCCCGGGAGAGGAGCGGCGGCCGCGCUGAGCCAGAGCCAUGAGCCACCGGAUCCUGCUGCUUCUGGCCGUGCUGACCCUGGGCCUGGCUACCUCCCAACACCGAGACAAGGUGCCCUGUAAGAAGGUGGACAAGGAAGUCUUGUGCCGGGGCCUUGGCCUACUCCAGGUCCCCUCGGUGCUCCCACGGGACAUUGAGGUCCUCGACCUGUCUGGGAACCAGCUGCGGAGCAUCCUGGCCUCGCCCCUGGGCUUCUACACAGCGCUUCUUCACCUGGACCUGAGCGCCAACGAGAUUAGCUUCCUCCAGCCAGGGGUCUUCCAGGCCCUGCCCCACCUGGAGCACCUCAACCUGGCCCACAACCGCCUGGCGGUGGGCACGGCGCUGAGCACUGGGGGUCUGGGUCCCCUGCCACACCUGACGUCCCUGGACCUGUCUGGCAACAGCCUGUACAGUGGCCUGGCGGAGCGGCUGCUGGCGGAGGCGCCCGCCCUGCGCAGCCUCUCGCUGGCGGAGAACAGCCUGACACGCCUGGGCCGCCACACCUUCUGGGGCACGCCCGCGCUCGAGCGGCUGGACCUUCACAGCAACGUGCUGAUGGACAUCGAGGACGGAGCCUUCGAGGCCCUGCCCCACCUGGCACACCUCAACCUCUCCAGGAACUCCCUCACCUGCAUCUCCGACUUCAGCCUCCAGCAGCUGCGCGUCCUAGACCUGAGCUGCAACAGUAUUGAGGCCUUUCAGACGGCCCCGGAGCCCCGGGCCCAGUAUCAGCUCGCCUGGCUUGACCUGCGGGAGAACAAACUGCUCCACUUCCCCGACCUGGCCGCGCUUCCGAGACUCAUUUACCUGAACGUGUCUAACAACCUCAUCCGCCUCCCUGCAGGGCCGCCCCAGGGCGGCGAGGGCCUUCACGCGCCUUCCGAGGGCUGGUCCGCCUUGCCCUUCUCUAACCCCGGCCGCAACGCCAGCACCCAGCCCCUCUCUCAGCUCUUGAAUCUGGAUCUGAGCUACAAUGAGAUUGAGCUCGUCCCCGAGGGCUUUCUUGAGCACCUGACUUCCCUGCGCUUCCUGAACCUCAGCCGGAACUGCUUGCAGGCCUUUGAGGCCCGGCGCGUGGGCUCCUUGCCUUGCCUCGCACUCCUGGACAUGAGCCACAAUGCGCUGGAGACGCUGGAGCUGGGUGCCAGGGCCCUGGGGUCUCUGCAGACGCUGCUCCUACAGGACAACGCCCUGCGGGACCUGCCCCCGUACACCUUCGCUGGCCUGGCCAGCCUGCAGAGGCUCAACCUGCAGGGGAACCGGGUCAGCCCCUGCGGGGGCCCAGGUGAGCCUGGACCCGCGGGCUGUGUGGCCUUCUCUGGCGUCUCCUCCCUCCGCGUCCUGAACCUGGCGGACAAUGAGAUGGAGACGCUCCGGGCAGGUGCCUUCCUCCACACUCCGCUGACCGAGCUGGACCUCUCCGCCAACCCUGGGCUGGAUGUGGCCACAGGGGCCUUGGCGGGCCUGGAGGGCUCCCUGGAGGUGCUGGCCUUGCAGGGCAACGGGCUGGCCGUCCUGCAGGUGGACCUGCCCUGCUUCAGCUGCCUCAAGCGGCUCAAUCUGGCAGAGAACCGCCUGAGCCGCCUGCCUACCUGGACGCAGGCCGUGUCCUUGGAGGUGCUGGACCUAAGGAACAACAGCUUCAGCCUCCUGCCGGGCAGCGCCAUGGGCGGCCUGGAGACCAGCCUGCGGCGCCUCUACCUGCAGGGGAACCCCCUCAGCUGCUGCGGCAACGGCUGGCUGGCGGCCCAGCUGCACCAGGGCCGUGUGGACGUGGACGCCACCCAGGACCUGAUCUGCCGCUUCGGCUCCCAGGAAGAGGUGUCCCUGAGUCACGUGCGUCCUGAGGACUGUGAGAAGGGGGGGCUCAAGAACGUCAACCUCAUCAUCAUCCUCACCUUCGCCCUGGUGUGUGCCAUCCUUCUCACCACGCUGGCCGCCUGCUGCUGUGUCCGCCGGCAGAAGUUCAACCAGCAGUACAAAGCCUAGAGAGGCUGCGGGCUACAGACCAGCUCUGUCGGGGGACCCUGCCAGGUCAGUGGGGGAGCCAGAGGCACGGAGAAGGGUGGGGACUGACCCAAGAUUACCCAGUGAGCCAGGAUCCAAGAACCCUGGUCUCUCAGUCCCAGCCCAGGGCUCCUGUCCCUGUAUCCUGCUGCAUCAGUAGGUGACUCACUUCACAGGGCGCACGUGUGGUCCAGCUGUGGAAGCUGGAAGAUGGGCAGCUUGCAGGAGUGACAGAGUGUAAGGUUAACCCAUCGGAUCAACACAUCUUCACCAGGCGUCUGUUUUGUGCCACACCCUGCCCUGGGCACGGGGGACGCCAGGGAAUGAGACACAUCCCUGCCCUCAGCAUCGCCCAGUCUGGGUGGGGAGGUGGUUGCGGUGACCACACAGAGCGUGGAAGCCAGGGCCCCAAAGCUCUGCAGCCCCAGCUGGCUGAGUGUGGAUGGCCCUGCUGGGCCAGGGUAAGAGAGAGGCAAUGCCGACCAGGAGGAUUUGUCUGAGAGGUGUCCAAGCAGACCGUUCGUCACAUCUUCUGAUAAUGACUUCCAGCUUCUCUGGAACAUAAAAAGCUUGUGACCGGAAGAGAGCUGGAGCCCCCUAAGGCUUGGAUCCAGUGCUAUUCGGCGGGCUGCGGCAGCUCCAGCAGGGCCUGGUUAAGAGGCGCUCUCCCUGGGCUCCAGCCCAGUGCUGGACCAUUCCGUUUCCUGCUCCGGGCAGGCUCUUUCCCUACCUGGCACUCUCGUGUUGCACACACCGGCCAAGAUACUGCCCUAGCCCCGCUACUCCCUGCCCAGGCCGCCCUGCUCCAUCCCAGCCUCACCCUGGCUGCUGAGCCAGGAGUGAGAACCUUAGGUGUCUGGUUCCGUUCGGCACCACACUUGGCAGUGGUGACAAACCCAAGCCUGCAUCUGCCUCUUUAUGACAACCCUCUGAGGUUCAUAUUUUAUCCCAUUUUACAAGAGGCCCCAAAAGUCUCCCUCCAGGGACCUCCAGCUAAGAAAUGCCGGAACUGAGCUCCAGACUCACAUCCUCCUGAGUCCAGAGCCUGAGCUUGGCCACUGCAGGGGCUGCAGGCUGUUAGGCGGACAGGAACAAGGCCCGGGAGCGUCCUGUGCCGUGCACACCCACCCGCUCCUCUCCCUCCUCUCUCCCAGGCGGGCAGAGGGAAGAUGGGCAGCCGCAGGCCCUCUCCUCCUUCUGUGCCUCAUUUUCCCUUCUUCCCUCAUUUGCAGACUAGGCAGGCUCUCCUUUUUCUCUUCUUGCUCUUGCAUGCCCUCCUUCCCUCUCCCUCCUUUGAGCAUAGCCUGGACUUUGAAACCAUUGAGUCCAACCUCCCUGUUGCACAGGUACGGAGGCUAAGACUGAGGAAGAGAAUGGGACUUGCUCAGAGCUGCACAGAUGAGAAAACUGAGGCCCAGAGCAGGUCGAGGACUCAGGGAGUCAACGGCAGAGCCGGGGCUAGAGCCUGGUGGCUUGGCCCCACCCCGGGGCCCUGGUGGCAAGUGGGGCAGCCGGCGGGUCCAUUUCUGUUUGGGAUCAUGACCACAGGUGCUCACUGCACACAAACACUCUUCCUCAGGCCUGGAGGGCAAGGUGUGGGCCCCUGCAUGCCUGAUCUUUGAGAACACUACACAAUGCUGCUCUCACUCCCCAGGACCCAGGCCACAACCCAGGCCUCGGGGCCAGCUCUUUGUGUAACCCACGUGAAUGUAUUAAAAACGGAUUUUGGAGAAACAGUGCAGCCUGCCGGCCUCCUCCUUGCUGCGGGCUCCAGCUCCGCCUCCCCCAUCCGCAAGCGUCCUGGAGAUUUCUCCAGCCCAGCUUCCUCCCUGGCUGUGACCUCUCGCUCCCAGUUGCUGCUCCCAGCUCCUACUCUCCAAAGGAAAAACUGAAAUGCCUAUUUCAUGGAUGGGGCUAGGCGGUGAGAGGGUAUGUGACGCAAUGCCCUGGCACACAGUAGGUGCUGCCCGAAGGCCUGCAGGAGGGCAGUAGCAUGGGCUGAGCUCAACCCAGGACUCUGGGAACCUGGGAGCCCACCAGGCCCCUAACCCCUUUUCCUGGCAAACAGGGGACUUUGCUCACCUGACCAAGACCCCAGCAAGGCAGAAAUUCCUGUUUUCAGCCGAACGUGGACACAGCUGCCAACUAGGUCAUCGGAGCAUCCGGCAAGUUCCAGGGCAAGAGGAUGCCCUUGCACAGCCCCUGUCACAGACAGACUGUGGUGUCAGGUCACCUGGCUCACUCAAUCCACGAGGACCCGGCCCAGCAAGAGCCGGGCUCGCAGGCCGGGUAGGAGGAGAGGAAGCCGGCAUCCCUGGCCCACCAGAUGCCUCCCCCGGUCAGUUCCCUGUGCUGGCACAACCCCCCAGGAUCCAGGAUCCACAGUCUGCUUUCUGUGCCCCUGUUGUUUAGCAGCUCAGAGGCCCUGCAAGUCCGGGUCCCUGCGGCCCUCCAUCCUCAUCUCUCUCUGGCCACCUCCCACCUCCUAUUCAGAGCUGACAGAGCACUUCCGGGUGGGCCCUGCGCUGAAUACUUGAUGUACACGGUCGUAUAUAAUUCUAACACUCUUUGGAGAGAUUUCUAUUAUUAUCAUCCUCACUUUAGAGAAACUGAGACUCAAGAUGCCACAGCUGUCAAGCGCUAGGGCUGAGACUUGAGCCCAGGUUUGCCCUGCUCCUCUCUGGAGCCGGCAAUCUUAACCAUUAGGCAGCACUGCUUCCUGACCCUCCCAAUUCUGGCUCUCUCCCACCUCUUCUACUUGAAAUGUCUCACCUACCCUGACCCCCCUGCCAAACUCCUCCUUUUUCAAUGCUUACCUGCAUCACCUCCUCUGGGAAGACUGCCCUGAUUUCCCUCCUCCAGCUGCCAUCAGCCCUGGGCUGCCCGGGGCCACAACACUGGGAUGUCUGCCUGAUCCACCACCAGACCGGGAGCUCCUGGAAGGAGGUCUUACCCAGAGACCCUUCUGUGUCCCCUGGGCCCGAGCCAACACAGAGGCAAGUUCAGAAAAGGUUUCCUGAAUGGAUGGCCCUGCCCUCCAGGACCUAAACACUUGUGGGGAUUAACAUCGGCCCUCAGACCAAGAAUGGGUGAUAAACUUCUCAGACAGACCCCAGGAACAUAGAGGACACAGAGGGACUGCAGGGUGUGGGCUGCCCAGGGGAACAGGAAUCUUCUCUCACCACUCUCAUUCCCCUCAGUUCCUCUUGCCUCUAGGACCCUUUCUCUUCUUCAUCCUCCUCUCUCCCCCCAACCCCUCUUCUCUUCUCCUUCUCCUCCCUUGGUCAUCUCUCCCCCACCCCACUCUCACUGGGAUGAGUUGGAGCUAUGGUGCUGAGAAUGUGGAGGGGUGGAGGGGAGGGAGGCCCGAGCUGUUUAUAGGAACUGGAGCAGCUCCAUCCAUCAGCUCUGUUUGGAGCUGGAAACCAAGCAUAAUAAAUACCUUGGCUCCUCCCCAGCUGUGCUUUCCCUGAACUUGGCCAUUCGAACUCCAAAUUUCUCUGGCCUGCUGGUUCUCAGGACCCAGCUCCCACCCCACCCCACCCUACUCCCACCUCCCACCAAGCUGCCCUGGAAAGAGCCCUGCCUCUGGGACCAGAAAUGCAGGGCUGAGUCUAGGCUGUGCUGCCGCUUUGCUUUGGGAGCAAGUCGUGCCCCUGGUCUGUGCCUCCAUUUCCCCAUCUGUGAAAUGGGGUCAUGAUCACUGCACCCCCCCAAACACGCAGUGCUGUUCACAUGUUAGGCUUGAGCAUCUGCUUGACGCUGGGCCCUGGGCCCUGCGGGAUCCCUGGGAACAGGCAGGCAGAGCCUCUGCCUAUUGGGCGGAGGGAGGGGUCACACUACAGCCCAAGCAGGAAGUGGUCAGCGCCACGAGGGAGGUCCAGACUUUGUGUUCUGGGAGUUUGUUUGCAGCAGGGAGCGGCCCUUCCAGCUGGAGGAUUCAGAGGAGACCUCGAGGACAUCUGGGCUGGCCCUGCAGGGAAGGGUAGCAUUUCAGCAUGUGGAGAUGGGGAGAGCCUCUUCCGGACAGAGCAGACUGCCGGAGCAAAAGCUGGGCAGUGAGAAGAUGUGAGGGUGGCGGCAAAGAAGAGUCUCCCUUUGCAUCCUUCACCCUGUCACUCCCAGCUCUGUCCUCUGAUCCUCCAGCACCUUUCGCUCUGACCCUCUAGCUUUUUGGAAUCUUCCCUCCUUCCCUGGAGAGCUUCAGACUCACCCAGCUCUCCCAGGUUGUGGAUGCAUUCCCAGAAUUAUGCAGUCACGUUCCCACUCCCACCUCCCCCCAGAAAGCCACCCUAGAAAGUGGAAGACUCAGAUCAGGGGAAAAGUCACUGGCCAAGAGCACGUUUCUGGAAUGAAUAAGGGAAUAAAUGAAUAAAAGAGUGAGUCAAUGAAAAAGAGGAUAAGUGAGUAGGAAAUUAUUGAAUUCAACUGACAUACUGUGCUGUACAUACAAGCUCCCUCCUCUGGUGGUGCUGGUGGUGCCGUUUAUUUGGCGGGGAGGGGAAUAGGCAUUAAAUACAUGACUGUGCGCGCGUGCGUGUGCGCGCGCGUGUGCGCACACACACACACACGAAUAAAGACAAAAUGGCAAACUUUGAUGAGUAUUAUGAGAGAAAAUAAUAGGGAGACAGAAUGAAAUGGGCAGACUCAGAGAAGUCCUCUCUGAGGAUGGAAUCUGUAAGCUGAGACUGAAGGAGGACUUAAGAUGAGUGAGUGAAUUAAUAUUCCUUCUAGCCUCUUCCCCUCACUCCCAUGAAUUUGCAAGAGCUGCACUUUAGACCCUGAGGUCCAUUCUCAUGCAUUGAAAGGUCCCCCUACCCUGGGACCCUCCUGGCCUUCCCCUCCCCUCAGUGCCUUGGCUGUCCCAUUCUAGAAUCAUGGAGAAAAAUAUGGAAGGCCACCCAUAAGGGGUGGUGGGAGGGAUGGCCAAGGGAUGGGUGCCAGGAGUCAAGCAUUGUGGGGGUGAGGGACUGGCUAGGCUACAGGGUAAGAAAGUCAAGUUCCAAAGGCCCCUGCUUUAUUUGGGGUGGGGCGGUGGGGUGGGCUUGAUUCCCUCUGCCAUUCCUGAGCCACCCAUGUCAGCUUGCACCAACCAUAUUCUUUCACCCUAGGUAGCUUACUAACGUUCUCCUGUCUAACCUUCUGUAUAUUUUCUCCAUAAUCAAGUCACCAUUGACAGAUACAUUUAAAUUAUAUGCAAAUAAACUUAUGCAUGUAUCACUGUUUUAUAAAAAUGGGAUCAUAUAAUAUAUGGUUUCCUGCAUCUUGCUUUUUUU